rnacentral:rRNA from 2 species
CUUUGACCUCAAAUCAGGUAGGACUACCCGCUGAACUUAAGCAUAUCAAUAAGACGGAGGAA